rnacentral:rRNA from 1 species
ACGCGCUGGCACAUAGNACGAGGGUUGCGCUCGUUGCGGGACUUAACCCAACAUCUCACGACACGAGCUGACGACAACCAUGCACCACCUGUGCACGGCCCUUACGGACCCCGCAUCUCUGCAAGUUUUCCGUGCAUGUCAAGCCUAGGUAAGGUUCUUCGCGUUGCAUCGAAUUAAGCAACAUGCUNCCGCNGCUUGUGCGGGCCCCCGUCAAUCCCUUUUGA